rnacentral:rRNA from 1 species
UAAAUGAUGAUAAUGCAUCCGGUGGAUGCCUAGGUGUGCCAAUCAGGAACUCAUGAGGGAUGAAAGGAACUCAUGAUACUUCUUUAGCAGGAGAGAUAGAUAUCUUCGGCAUUGAAUUCCAACGUAGGGAACUGAAACAUCUUAGUACCUAUAGGAAGAUUUAUCUAAGAUAUUUUGUUAGUAGCAGAGAGCGAACCCAAACCUUGGCUAUUUCGAUGAUGUAAUGGUGUUAUUACUUUUAAAAAGGUAACAGUAAUGAGUGAAAGUCUUAAACACAUCUAAUCAUUCAUCGGAGAGAAAGUAGAACGAGACACGAUAGAUCUCGUUCGAAGAUAGGAGGACCACCUUCUAAGCCAAAAUAUAUGGGCAUAACCGAUAGUGAACUAGUACCGUGAGGGAAAGGUGAAAUAGACACCCGAACAGGGUAGUGAAACAGAUCCUGAAACCGGAUGCUAACAAGCAGUCGGAGGGUCCAAAGACCUGACGACGUACCUUUUGUAUAAUGGGUCAACGAGUUGUUGUUGUAAGCAAAGCUUUAAGUUGAUACAAAGGCGAAGCGAAAGCAAGUCCUCAAAGGGCAUCAAUAAGUUUACAGCUUCAAACCCGAAACCGAGUGAUCUAACCAUGGACAGAUUGAAGGUUGAUUAACAUCAUCCGAAGGAUCGAACCCGUACGUGUUGCAAAACGUUGGGAUGAUCUGUGGUUAGGGGUGAAAGGCCAAUCAAACUCGGAGAUAGCUGGUUCUCUGCGAAACCUAUGUAGGUAGGUUGUUAGCUGAAUCUCAAGGAGGGGUAGAGCACUGGAUGGAUGGGCAUAACGAGAGUUAUGUUAAGUUCAACCAAACUUCGAAUACUGUUGAUGAAUUAUUGGUUAAUAACCACACCAUGAGCUUAACGUCCAUGGUGGAGAGGGGAACAACCCAGACCUUAGAAUAAGGUCCUUAAAUCUGAUCUAAGUGAGAAAGAUGGCAGUUGUUCAAUGUCGAUCAGGAUGUAGGCUUAGAAGCGGCCAUCAUCUAAGGAAAGCGUAACAGCUCACUGAUUAACGAAUGAUCUGUAUCGAAAAUGUAACGGGACUAAGAUCAGUACCGAAGUCAAGGGCGUUGCCAAUCAAGCAACGCAGUAGCAGAGCAUUCCGUAAGCCAUGGAAGGCAACCCGUGAGGGUUGUUGGAGGUAUCGGAAGUGAGAAUGUUGACAUGAGUAACGAUAAUUGAAAGAAAGAACCUUUCACACCGAAUGAUCAAGGUUUCCAUAUUUGAAAGUUAAUCUGAAUUGGGUUAGCCGAUCCCUAAGGUAAAGCGCAAGCGCAUAGCCGAUGGUAAUCACGUUAAUAUUCGUGAGCCUUCUACAAGUGACUUAAUUCGAACCAUGUCUUUGUCUAAACGGAUUGACAUGGCAUGUUAGUAUUAACAAGAAAAAGCUUGUGGAUUUUGUUCGUACCGAAAACUGACACAGGUGAUCGGGUAGAGUAUACCAAGGUGUUUGAGAUAAUUGUGCUGAAGGAACUCGGCAAACUGCAUGCGUAACUUCGGGAGAAGCAUGACCUGUUAUGGGUAACCAUAUUCGGGUGUAACAAAAUUGAGGGAAGCGACUGUUUAUCAAAAACACAGGACUCUGCAAAAUCGUAAGAUGAAGUAUAGAGUCUGACGCCUGCCCGGUGCUGAUCAGCGAAAGCCUGGAUGUUCGAAGCAUCCGGUCAAAGCUUCAGUAAACGGCGGCCGUAACUAUAACGGUCCAAAGGUAGCGAAACCCCUUGUCGGGUAAGUUCCGACCAGCAUGAAUGGCGUAACGACUUCCUUGCUGUCUCCAGCACAAGCUCAGUGAAAUUGAAAUCCUCGUGAAGAUGCGAGGUACUUGCGGCAAGACGGAAAGACCCCGUGCACCUUCACUGCAACCUUGUAUUGAUGGACUUUGAUUAAUUGUACAGUGUAGAUGGUAAGCGAUAACCGUUGGACGUUAGCCCAACGUAAGCUGUCAAUGAAACACCAUCCUGUUAUCAAACAACAUCUCAUUGUUUUAAGCCAAUCUUAAUACAAGACCAUGCAAGGUGGGUAGUUUGACUGGGAUGGUCACCUCCUAAAAGGUAACAGAGGUGUACAUAAGGUAGGCUCAUGACGUUUGGAAAUCGUCAGUAGAGUACAAUGGCAUAUGCCUGCUUAAGACUGCGAGGCAGACAUGUCGAGCAGAGACGAAAGUCGGUCAUAGUGAUCCGAUAACACCAUGUGGAAGGGUUAUUGCUUAACGGAUAAAAGGUACGCCGGGGAUAACAGGCUAAUAGCUCCCAAGAGCUCUUAUCGACGGAGCUGCUUGGCACCUCGAUGUCGACUCAUCGCAUCCUGGGGCUGAACAAGGUCCCAAGGGUAUGGCUGUUCGCCAUUUAAAGCGGUACGUGAGUUGGGUUCAGAACGUCGCAAGACAGUUCGGUCCCUAUCUGCCGUGAGUGUAAGAAUGUUGAUGGGACCUGUCUCUAGUACGAGAGGACCGAGAUGGACAUACCUCUGGUAUACCUGUUGUCGUUGCCAACGGCAUGGCAGGAUGGCUAAGUAUGGAACAAAUAACUGCUGAAUGCAUCUAAGCAGGAAGUUGACCCAAGGACUAACGUUCUAUUAAGGGACGUGAUAGACCAUCACGUUGAUAGGUCAGAUGUGUAAGCAUGGUAACAUGUUAAGCUAACUGGUACUAACAUCCCGAAAAUUAUAACAAC